rnacentral:rRNA from 1 species
AUUGAACGCUGGCGGCAUGCCUUACACAUGCAAGUCGAACGGCAGCACGGGAGCAAUCCUGGUGGCGAGUGGCGGACGGGUGAAUAAUGUAUCGGAACGUACCUUUCAGUGGGGGAUAACGUAGCGAAAGUUACGCUAAUACCGCAUAUUCUGUGAGCAGGAAAGCAGGGGAUCGCAAGACCUUGCGCUGAUUGAGCGGCCGAUAUCAGAUUAGCUAGUUGGUGAGGUAAAGGCUCACCAAGGCGACGAUCUGUAGCGGGUCUGAGAGGAUGAUCCGCCACACUGGAACUGAGACACGGUCCAGACUCCUACGGGAGGCAGCAGUGGGGAAUUUUGGACAAUGGGCGCAAGCCUGAUCCAGCCAUGCCGCGUGAGUGAAGAAGGCCUCGGUUGUAAG